UACGUAGGGGGCAAGCGUUGUCCGGAAUCAUUGGGCGUAAAGGGCGCGUAGGCGGAUAUUUAAGUCUGGUGUGAAAACCUAGGGCUCAACCCUGGGACUGCAUCGGAAACUGGGUAUCUUGAGGACAGGAGAGGAAAGUGGAAUUCCACGUGUAGCGGUGAAAUGCGUAGAUAUGUGGAGGAACACCAGUGGCGAAGGCGACUUUCUGGACUGUAACUGACGCUGAGGCGCGAAAGCGUGGGGAGCAAACAGG
rnacentral:rRNA from 2 species